rnacentral:rRNA from 1 species
AAAUACAAAAGGGUCUCAGAGGCAAGGGAGGGUCCAAACUCGUAUGCCGAGUAAGUGAUCAAUAGGCAGUGUAGAUCUGCUGGCCAGCGGUCAACCUUCAUAUACUGCGAAAGAACCACGAGCCCUCACUAUGACCUUUGUUGUGAACCGCGAAGGACAUUAUGAGAGUCUCUUUGUCCUCACGUACGUGCAUGUAACUCAGAAUGGCGAUGUGCCUUUGGCACGGGUCUCUCGAGAACCAUUGGUGGGAAAGCAAGAGUGAAUCGAUCCACCUUCCGUAGGGAACCUGUGGAAGGAUCACUCACAAUUUCUUUUUCACCUUCCGUAGGUCACCUGGGAGGGAUCAUUCACAAGUAUGAAGGCGGGAUGGAACCUCUCGGGGUGACAGCCUUGUGAAUAUUCACCCUUGUCUUUUGCCUACUUCUUGUUUCCUUGGUGGGUUCGCCCACCACUAGGACAAACAUAAACCUUUUGUAAUUGCAAUCAGCGUCAGUAACAAAUUAAUAAUUACAACUUUCAACAACGGAUCUCUUGGUUCUGGCAUCGAUGAAGAACGCAGCGAAAUGCGAUAAGUAGUGUGAAUUGCAGAAUUCAGUGAAUCAUCGAAUCUUUGAACGCACAUUGCGCCCUUUGGUAUUCCAAAGGGCAUGCCUGUUCGAGCGUCAUUUGUACCCUCAAGCUUUGCUUGGUGUUGGGCGUCUUGUCUCUAGCUUUCCUGGAGACUCGCCUUAAAGUAAUUGGCAGCCGGCCUACUGGUUUCGGAGCGCAGCACAAGUCACACUCUCUAUCAGCAAAGGUCUAGCAUCCAUUAAGCCUUUUUUUCCACUUUUGACCUCUGAUCAAGUAGGGAGCCCACUGAACUUAACAAUCAACAGCGGAGGAAAAUCAAUAGGAAACCCGCUGAACUAGCAUAUCAAUAGCGGAGGAAUGGAAAUUCCAA